UGAGGAACAUGACCUUCGGCGGGGGAGUAGCCGGCCCGAACGGCCGGGUAAUACCGCGUACGACCACAUGGGGACAUCCCUGAGUGGUGAAAGCAGCAAUGCGCCGAUGGAGUGCCUCGCGGCCUAUCAGCUAGUUGGUGAGGUAACGGCUCACCAAGGCGACGACGGGUAGCUGGU
rnacentral:rRNA from 1 species